rnacentral:rRNA from 1 species
UCGUGCCUACGGGGGGCAGCAGUGGGGAAUAUUGCACAAUGGGGGAAACCCUGAUGCAGCGACGCCGCGUGAGUGAAGAAGUAUUUCGGUAUGUAAAGCUCUAUCAGCAGGGAAGAAAUAGCGACCUUUGGGUCGCCAGACGGUACCUGACUAAGAAGCCCCGGCUAACUACGUGCCAGCAGCCGCGGUAAUACGUAGGGGGCAAGCGUUAUCCGGAAUCACUGGGUGUAAAGGGAGCGUAGACGGCUGUGCAAGCCUGAAGUGAAAGGCGGGGGCCCAACCCCUGGGCUGCUUUGGGAACUGUA